CCAAGUUGCUACUUGCUCAGUCCCCUGAACUUGGGUUAUUUCUGUGGUCAGAGCAAUUGCAACUUUUUCAGGUGCCAGGGCUGCAGUAGUUGGCAUUUUCCAGAAGAAUUCCAGGGCUGGCUGGCCUGGUCUCGUACAAAUCUAUCUGAUUCCACAUUGUCUUACACUGAAACGGAGGCCACCAACUCCCUCAUCACUGCUCCGGGUGAAUUCUCAGAUGGGAAGACUGCCCAUCUCUUCAUCACUGGUGUUCUUGGGGUUAAGAAUGAGACCUAAAGAUGGUAACCUAAAAUGUCUGUCGAUCCACGUUUUAACCAGUUGUCUCUACCUUGUCUUGUGGAAGUGAGUAAAGCCCAGUACAGCUCUUCAUCUCUCAUUUUAGCAAGGGAUCCUGUUCUCCCAGCUGCUGGGAGGCAGCAAAUGGAUGUGUUUGUAUACAUUUCUCUACAUGGGUUUCUCCUUCCGUCCCCACUCUGGGGAAGGAGCUAUGUGAAGGGUCAGAAGGGGGGGAAAUGGAGUGGGUGGAACAAGCUUUCAGGAGGGUCUGGUAAGGAGGGAGUUUGCCAGAGGCCAGUGGUUUCCCUGUCUUUCCUGGAGCGGCGGAGGCUGGGCUCCUUUGCAGAGAGAACACUAGUUUGGAGCUCCCACCCCUUGCAAUUAAGAGUUGGCCAUAGGGACAUUCCAAGAAUAUCUGAAUCAAGCUUUCCAUAAGAAAGAGGUUGGUGGUGACUUGGGGGCGUAGAGGGCCAGGAGGGACUUGGGUGCCAAGGUCUGUGGGACCCUUUGGGACAGCUGGGCCUUGUGGUCUGGCCCUAUGCUCCAUGAGGUGACAGCCCCCCAGGCUGGAGCUGCAUGGCUGGAUCUUGGCUUGAGGGCUUCUGUCUGCAUCUGAGCUGUCUUUCCUCUACCCCACGCUCAAGUCAUAAUA